rnacentral:rRNA from 1 species
UGAGCAAUCUGCCCUUCUCAUCGGAAUAAGCGUUGGAAACGACGUCUAAUGCCGAAUACGACCUCCUUUCGCAUGAUCGGAGGUGGAAAGCUCCGGCGGAGAAGGAUGAGCUCGCGGCCUAUCAGCUAGUUGGUGUGGGUAAUGGCUCACCAAGGCGACGACGGGUAGCCGGCCUGAGAGGGUGACCGGCCACACUGGGACUGAGACACGGCCCAGACCUCCGUAGGGAGG